rnacentral:rRNA from 1 species
UACGUAUGGUGCAAGCGUUAUCCGGAAUGACUGGGUGUAAAGGGAGCGUAGACGGUUGUUCAAGUCUGAUGUGAAAGCCCUCGGCUUAACUGGGGGAGUGCAUUGGAAACUGAAGGACUAGAGUAUCGGAGAGGCAAGUGGAAUUCCUAGUGUAGCGGUGAAAUGCGUAGAUAUUAGGAGGAACACCAGUGGCGAAGGCGGCUUGCUGGACGAAAACUGUCGUUGAGGCUCGAAAGCGUGGGGAGCAAACAGG